rnacentral:rRNA from 1 species
CCUACGGGAGGCAGCAGUGAGGAAUAUUGGUCAAUGGCCGGAAGGCUGAACCAGCCAUGCCGCGUGAAGGUCAGUGCCCUAUGGGCGUUAAACCUCUUUUGUGCGGGAGCAAUAAUGGUCACGUGUGGCCAGACGAGAGUACCGUAAGAAUAAGCAUCCGCUAACUCCGUGCCAGCAGCCGCGGUAAUUCGGGGGAUGCAAGCGUUAUCCGGGAUUAUUGGGUUUAAAGGGUGCGUAGGCUGUGAGGUAAGUCAGCUGGGAAAUGCCCGCGCUCAAGGGGGUGAAGUGCCAUUGAUACUGGCUGGCUUGAAUGCGGAUGCCGUAGGAGGAAUGCGUGGUGUAGCGGUGAAAUGCAUAGAUAUCACACAGAACACCGAUUGCGAAGGCAUCUCACGAAUCCGCGAUUGACGCUGAUGCACGAAAGCGUGGGUAUCAAACAGGAUUAGAUACCCUUGUAGUC